UGUCAUCUCUCUCUCGAUCAAAAGUAUUCGCUACCUCGAGCCGCUUUGCAAUUAGAGCAUCGUUCCUUUUUCCUUUUUUUCUCUAUCUCCACCCGAUUGUUCACUUCUACAUGUUCCUAAUUUUCCAGAUAUCACCAACGGUGGAGCUUCUCUGAAGUCACCUUUUGACUGAUGUGUUCAAUCAGUCGGAAGGAAAGGGAGCCAGAGGCCACCUCCUCGCCACCGAUUGUGGCUGCACCGGAGAAAUCAACUGAUAAGGUCGACUUCUACUACUAUUGGAAGUCUCGAAGCCGGCGCCUCCAUCGACAGCCACCACAGUUGGCAUCGCCCAAAGAAAAUCUCCGGUUGCUGACCUUGCCUCUGGAUUUCGGUUCUGUAAAGAUAUACAAACCGUCGAAAAUACCUUCCUCCAUUACCGACUCCUCCGUUUGUCACCAGGAACUGUUUCCUCAUUUAUUAACUUCAUCUCAAUUUUGCGUCUAAUAUUUGGUUCAUUUUUGUUUUGGGGAGAAUAACUUUCAUACUGUUUAGCGAGUUCAGGGUACCUGGGGAGACAUGAUGCAUUCUAGCUGCUUGAUGGAAUGCUUCACCUAGGUGAAUUUGAAUUCGAACUUUGGGGGAUCAAGAAGAGUGACAAUGAAGAAGAUUGGUAGACAUGUUGAGUUUGGUGUUAGGUCAGUUUCUUCUUCGAUUCCAUUUGAUGUGUCGUUUCUUGGUGAUUAGGAUGAACUUCUCACGUGUAGGUAGCGAUUUGAAGAAAGAGAUAAAGUUGUUUUCCGAGGUCACUGAAGUGAUUCUUCUAAACAUUGAAGUUCUUUUCUUCUAAAUAUUGUUAUACUAAUGAAUAUUUAAUAAUUUUUUACACAUAAAUAGCCUUUUAAGAAUUUUAAUUUAAACAAUUGCCUCCUCAUACAUGGAAACUUCAUCUAUGAAAGGUGGCCAGAAGGUGUUUGAUGAAAUGCCUAUCCAACCAGAUGUUUGGGUCUAAUAGUUAACAUAAGUAACUUGAGAGGUAUGUUCUCCCUAUAUGAAGCAAAAAAUGAAGAAAUUAAAUGGGUUUAAUUUUUUUAGUUACAGGUUUCAGAUUCAUGGAAAGAACCCAUAUACAUUAAUAGUAUCUUAAGAUCAAGAAGAAUCAUUAAAAGUAACAUAAGAUAUGUACACUCAACUUGUGGCCUCAGUAUGUGAAGGGAUAACUGCUACAACUGAACAUGGUGACGGAAAUGCUUCAGGGUUUCACUUUUACUCAGCCCAAUGAGAGCAAAUCAACAAAGAGAUUUCUACACAUGGCACAACAG